rnacentral:rRNA from 1 species
AUUGAACGCUGGCGGCAUGCCUUACACAUGCAAGUCGAACGGUAACAGGUCUUCGGAUGCUGACGAGUGGCGAACGGGUGAGUAAUACAUCGGAACGUGCCUAGUAGUGGGGGAUAACUACUCGAAAGAGUGGCUAAUACCGCAUGAGAUCUACGGAUGAAAGCAGGGGAUCGCAAGACCUCGUGCUACUAGAGCGGCCGAUGGCAGAUUAGGUAGGUGGUGGGAUAAAAGCUUACCAAGCCGACGAUCUGUAGCUGGUCUGAGAGGACGAUCAGGCACAAUGGAACUGAGACACGGCCCAGACUCCUACGGGAGGCAGCAGUGGGGAAUGUUGGACAAUGGGCGCAAGCCUGAUCCAGCAAUGCCGCGUGCAGGAUGAAGGCCUUCGGGUUGUAAACUGCUUUUGUACGGAACGAAAAGCCCUGGGUUAAUACCCUGGGGUCAUGACGGUACCGUAAGAAUAAGCACCGGCUAACUACGUGCCAGCCGCCGCCGUAAUAC